rnacentral:rRNA from 1 species
UCAUCAUGGCCGGAGCGUACUGCUAAUGCAAUCAAUUGCCGUUACACAACGAUUAACAGAGAGACCUGCCUUCAGCAGAUUUUAAAUAGGCAAGAAAGUGGAAGGACUAUAGAAGAAAAGACAAACGAUGCACACAUUUUGUUCAAGGAAAUGGAUCUUAAAAAAAAGAAGCCUUUCACACUGAUGCAUUGCUAUGUAGAGUUUUCGAAGUAUCCAAAGCGGCAGACAAGAGAAGUUGAAACUUCUCUUAAGAAACAAAAGAAGACCAUUGAUGCAAGUCCAGGCACAGCCACCAAUGAUCCGGCUGAUGCAUCCUCGGUACGUACUGAUGCUACCUCGAUACGCACUGAUGCUCUUGAACAUGAGAAAAGACCUGAUGGUGUGAAGAGGGACAAGAGAGGUAAAGCUGAUGAGAGUGCUUGCAAGCUGUCAUUAGAAACUGUGUGGGCAGCAAAGCAAGAGAAGGAUGAGAUCAAAGAGGCGGCAAGCUGUCAUUAA